UACGGAGGGGGCUAGCGUUGUUCGGAAUUACUGGGCGUAAAGAGCGCGCAGGCGGCUUGGUAAGUCGGAUGUGAAAUCCCGAGGCUCAACCUCGGGUCUGCAUCCGAUACUGCCCGGCUAGAGGUAGGUAGGGGAGAUCGGAAUUCCUGGUGUAGCGGUGAAAUGCGCAGAUAUCAGGAGGAACACCGGUGGCGAAGGCGGAUCUCUGGGCCUUACCUGACGCUCAGGCGCGAAAGCGUGGGGAGCAAACAGG
rnacentral:rRNA from 1 species